GAAGAUAUGAUGAUUGGAGCUGUUGUAGCCAUCUUGCAAUCACGAGGCUGUAGUACUGAGGAUGGCAGAGCAAGAGAUGGAAGUUGUGUCUUCUGUAACAUGUUAAUGAAAGUUUCCCAACUGAUACAGGAGAGGAGGUAGAAAUUGAAGAAUGAGUCAUGAAGAGAAAGGAAAGAGCAUUUCCAGAAGAGGAGACAAUUCAGAAAAAUAUGCUGAGGAAAGAGAUGAUGCCCGUGGCGGGAAGCCAGAAGCAGAGAGCAUCACAGAACUUGGCUCUGGAG